GAUGAAGAACGUAGCGAAAUGCGAUAAGUAAUGUGAAUUGCAGAAUUCAGAGAAUCAUCGAAUCUUUGAACGCACAUUGCGCCCGCCAGUAUUCUGGCGGGCAUGCCUGUUCGAGCGUCAUUACAACCCUCAGGCCCCCGGGCCUGGCGUUGGGGAUCGGCGGAAGCCCCCUGCGGGCACAACGCCGUCCCCCAAAUACAGUGGCGGUCCCGCCGCAGCUUCCAUUGCGUAGUAGCUAACACCUCGCAACUGGAGAGCGGCGCGGCCACGCCGUAAAACACCCAACUUCUGAAUGUUGACCUCGAAUCAGGUAGGAAUACCCGCUGAACUUAAGCAUAUCAAUAAGCGGAGGA
rnacentral:misc_RNA from 1 species